rnacentral:rRNA from 1 species
GUGUCAGCAGCCGCGGUAAUACGGAGGGUGCAAGCGUUAAUCGGAUUUAUUGGGCGUAAAGGGCGCGUAGGCUGAAAAGAAAGUCAGAUGUGAAAUGCCGGGGCUUAACCCCGGAACGGCAUUUGAAACUUCUUUUCUAGAGGAUGUGCGGAGAAAACGGAAUUCCAUGUGUAGCGGUGAAAUGCGUAGAUAUAUGGAAGAACACCAGUGGCGAAGGCGGUUUUCUAGUACAUUCCUGACGCUGAGGCGCGAAAGCAAGGGGAGCAAACAGGAUUAGAUACCCUGGUAGUCCUUGCCGUAAACAAUGCAUACUAGGUGUAAUCGGACUCAACCCCGGUUGUGCCGUAGCUAACGUGUUAAGUAUGCCGCCUGGGGAGUACGCUCGCAAGGGUGAA